UACGUAGGGUGCGAGCGUUAAUCGGAAUUACUGGGCGUAAAGGGCGCGUAGGCGGCCUGUUAAGUCGGACGUGAAAUCCCCGGGCUCAACCCGGGAACCUGCGUCCGAUACUGGCAGGCUUGAAUCCGGGAGAGGGAUGUGGAAUUCCAGGUGUAGCGGUGAAAUGCGUAGAUAUCGGGAGGAACACCAGUGGCGAAGGC
rnacentral:rRNA from 1 species